GCGCACCAGGCGCGAAACUUUACAAUGCGGGAAACCGCGAUAAGGGGACUCCGAGUGCCAGCAUACUAUGUUGGCUGUCCACAUGUGCAAAUAGCAUGUGUUAGCAAGGGCCGGGCAAGACCGGUGCCAGCCGCCGCGGUAACACCGGCGGCCCGAGUGGUAAUCACUAUUAUUGGGGUCUAAAAGGGGUCCGUAGCCGGUUUGAUUUAGUCUUCCGGGAAAUCUGAUAGCUCAACUAUUAGGCUUCCGGGGUGA
rnacentral:rRNA from 1 species